GUCGAGCGGACAGAUGGGAGCUUGCUCCCUGAAGUCAGCGGCGGACGGGUGAGUAACACGUGGGCAACCUGCCUGUAAGACUGGGAUAACUUCGGGAAACCGGAGCUAAUACCGGAUAACACCGAGGACCUCAUGGUCCUUGGUUGAAAGAUGGCUUCGGCUAUCACUUACAGAUGGGCCCGCGGCGCAUUAGCUAGUUGGUGAGGUAACGGCUCACCAAGGCGACGAUGCGUAGCCGACCUGAGAGGGUGAUCGGCCACACUGGGACUGAGACACGGCCCAGACUCCUACGGGAGGCAGCAGUAGGGAAUCUUCCGCAAUGGACGAAAGUCUGACGGAGCAACGCCGCGUGAGCGAUGAAGGCCUUCGGGUCGUAAAGCUCUGUUGUUAGGGAAGAACAAGUACCGUUCGAAUAGGGCGGUACCUUGACGGUACCUAACCAGAAAGCCACGGCUAACUACGUGCCAGCAGCCGCGGUAAUACGUAGGUGGCAAGCGUUGUCCGGAAUUAUUGGGCGUAAAGCGCGCGCAGGCGGUUCCUUAAGUCUGAUGUGAAAGCCCACGGCUCAACCGUGGAGGGUCAUUGGAAACUGGGGAACUUGAGUGCAGAAGAGGAAAGCGGAAUUCCACGUGUAGCGGUGAAAUGCGUAGAGAUGUGGAGGAACACCAGUGGCGAAGGCGGCUUUCUGGUCUGUAACUGACGCUGAGGCGCGAAAG
rnacentral:rRNA from 1 species